rnacentral:rRNA from 1 species
AGUGAACGCUGGCGGCAGGCCUAACACAUGCAAGUCGAGCGGCAGCGCGGGGGCAACCCUGGCGGCGAGCGGCGGACGGGUGAGGAAUUCGUCGGAAUCUGCCUUUUUGUGGGGGAUAACGUAGGGAAACUUACGCUAAUACCGCAUACGUCCUACGGGAGAAAGUGGGGGACCGCAAGGCCUCACGCAGAAAGAUGAGCCGACGACCGAUUAGCUAGUUGGUGGGGUAAAGGCCCACCAAGGCGACGAUCGGUAGCUGGUCUGAGAGGCUGAUCAGCCACACUGGGACUGAGACACGGCCCAGACUCCUACGGGAGGCAGCAGUGGGGAAUAUUGGACAAUGGGCGCAAGCCUGAUCCAGCCAUGCCGCGUGUGUGAAGAAGGCCUUCGGGUUGUAAAGCACUUUUGUCCGGAAAGAAAUCCCUGGAGCUAAUACCUUCGGGGGAUGACGGUACCGGAAGAAUAAGCACCGGCUAACUUCGUG